rnacentral:rRNA from 1 species
UACGAGGGGUGCAAGCGUUGCUCGGAAUUAUUGGGCGUAAAGGGUUGGUAGGUGGUCUUGUUUGUCUAAGGUGAAAUCCCAUGGCUUAACUGUGGAAGUGCCCUAGAAACGGCAAGACUAGAGUCCUAGAGGGUUCGUGGAAUUCCCGGUGUAGCGGUGAAAUGCGUAGAGAUCGGAAGAACACCAACGGCGAAAGCACUCUGCUGGCCGACACUGACACUGAGAGACGAAGCUAGGGAGCGAAUGG